rnacentral:ncRNA from 1 species
UAAGUUAGAAGUUGAAAUAGUUGUUAUUAAUUAAUGAUGCGGUCCCAACGCAUCAAGCCCUAAUUGGGAGGUGAUAAGUGAUGUGGGGGGGUGGCAGUCCCACCUAACCUA